rnacentral:rRNA from 1 species
UGGGGAAUAUUGGACAAUGGGCGCAAGCCUGAUCCAGCCAUGCCGCGUGAGUGAUGACGGCCUUAGGGUUGUAAAGCUCUUUCAACGGUGAAGAUAAUGACGGUAACCGUAGAAGAAGCCCCGGCUAACUUCGUGCCAGCAGCCGCGGUAAUACGAAGGGGGCUAGCGUUGUUCGGAAUUACUGGGCGUAAAGCGCGCGUAGGCGGAUUGAUCAGUCAGGGGUGAAAUCCCGGGGCUCAACCCCGGAACUGCCUUUGAUACUGUCAAUCUAGAGUUCGAGAGAGGUGAGUGGAAUUCCGAGUGUAGAGGUGAAAUUCGUAGAUAUUCGGAGGAACACCAGUGGCGAAGGCGGCUCACUGGCUCGAUACUGACGCUGAGGUGCGAAAGUGUGGGGAGCAAACAGGAUUAGAUACCCCUGUAGUCC